rnacentral:rRNA from 1 species
UAAUACGAACUGUGCAAACGUUAUUCGGAAUCACUGGGCUUAAAGGGUGCGUAGGCGGCUUAUUAAGCAGGGUGUGAAAGCCCCCGGCUCAACCGGGGAAUAGCGCUCUGAACUGAUGAGCUGGAGCGAGGCAGGGGUGCGCGGAACUUCCAGUGGAGCGGUGAAAUGUGUUGAUAUUGGAAGGAACACCGGAGGCGAAAGCGGCGCACUGGGUCUUGUCUGACGCUGAGGCACGAAAGCCAGGGGAGCAAACGGG